CACAACCAACUUAGUCUUGCAUUUCUAUCUUCUGUUAUACUAGGUGCUCUGCAUUUUAAAGUUAUAGAAUCUCCAGCAAAUACUACUUGAUUAUGAACUGGCCGAAGUUCAAUUGUGGGAGGUGAUACACAUUUUGGGGCAGGACUGAAAUAUUUCAAAAGCUUAUUACACUAUGAUACACAUUAUACCCUAUAUGAUUACUAAAUCUCUAUUUUUGUAUUUAAAAAAUAUAUUACUUUAAUUUAA